rnacentral:lncRNA from 1 species
AAAGAUUUCAGUAGCCAUUGUUGUCUUUAAGGUCUGGUCUCCAUGAUGAUUGUCAAGGCUUUUUGGGGCCCUCAGUGGAAACAGAGAAGCCAUCGAAUCCACAGUUCCUCUUUCUCAAAGCCUCAGCUCUCUCUUUACUUUCCAGUAUAGUACGUCCCCUAAGUGUGUGUGUAUGUGUGUGUGUGUGUGCACUUAAUUUCCCAGCUGUGUUUGACUCUUUGCGACCCCAUGGACUGUAGCCUGCCAGGUACGUUUGUCCAUGGGGAUUCUCCAGGCAAGAAUAUUGAAUACUGGAGUGGGUUGCCAUGCCUUCCUCCAGGAGAUCUUCCCAACCCNNNNNNNNNNNNNNNNNNNNNNNNNNNNNNNNNNNNNNNNNNNNNNNNNNNNNNNNNNNNNNNNNNNNNNNNNNNNNNNNNNNNNNNNNNNNNNNNNNNGAUCUUCCCAACCCAGGGAUCGAAUCUAGGUCUCCCACAUUGCAGGUGGAGUCUUUACCGUCUGAGCCACCAGGAAAGCCCAAGACCCCUAUAUAUGCACCUUCAAGUUGCAAACUGUCAAAGAUGAGAACGUGCGUUUGCAAGUUCAAUCAUGUAAGUUAGGUCACGUGUCUGGCAAUCACUGUCAUGUGUACACCCUCUGCAGGUGGUUGUGCUUUUGUGUACUUUAUUGUACACUACAACAAUGACGACGAUGACUGGAUAGAGUACAGGGCUACCCAGUCAUCACCUGAUCGUGUUUUCAAGGGGUAGAUAGAACUGAAUCCAGCGAGGAACCAGAAGCUGUGCCAUCAGUGUCAGGCAUGAGUGAAAUGCAGCUUGUUCUCCGUCGCUGAUGAUCCUUCGUGCUACCAUCUCCCGCCUCCUGUCUCUCCUCCAGGCAGUAACUCUUCUUGCCUGUUCACUCGAUGCCAGCCCCUAUAUGCCAGCUGUUGUGCUGGUCUGUAAGAUUAGAAAUGUCUUCUUUAUUUUUUUCUGGUUGGUUUUUCUUUAUGUAUUAUUUAGGUGAAAAUUAUUAUAAACCUGUUACAGUGCGGUACUGUAUAGACAUGAUUGUGUUAAGAUGGAUUCCUUGGCUAACUCUGUUGGGCUUACGAAUGUGCUCUUGCAGUGGAGCUCGUUUGCAUGGAGGGAACUUACUGAGCCUGCCUGCUUGCCUCCCUGUCCUGCUUGUUCUCUUUGCAGUUAACUCUUGUUCAUGGAGCAGCACCCCUACAUUUUCUUGGUGGUGUAAGAAAAUACAAGUGCAAGGCAACAGCUCAGCACAUCUUUCUCCCUCUUCCUCUUCUCCCCCCACUAGGGUUUCUUCUUGGGAGUUCUCCAGUCUUGCCCCGAGAGCAGAGCCUGGAUCCCAGGCUGCGGUAGAGCCCUGCACUUUUGUGCCAUUCCCUAGGUUUUGCACCAUCUUUGCUCGUGCUUGCCCAUGCUUCUGGAGGGCAGGUGCUUCUCUUUGUUUUUGAUUCCAUGGUAGAUGCAAGUCCACACAGGAGCCCAGUGAACUAAGCCAUUCUCUGCUUAGAAAGCGUAACAUACACAGGCUCCCCCCUCUCCCCGUCCCUGUGGUUUACUUGGCUGGUUUUUUAAAUUGGAGUAUAGUCAAUUUACAGUGUUACAUUAGUUUCAGGUGUGCAGAGAAGUGAUUCGGUUAUACAUAUGUCAAUAUAUUUCUGUUCUUUUUCAAAUUCCUUUCCAUUAUUGGUUAUUGAANNNNNNNNNNNNNNNNNNNNNNNNGCUAUACAGUAGGUCCUUGCUGUUUAUCUGUUUAAUACAUAGUUGUGUGUAUCUGUUAAUCCUGAACUAAUUUAUCCCUCCCCACCCACCUCUCCCCCUUAGUAACCGUAAAUUUGAUUUUUAUGUCCAUGAGUCUAUUUCUGUUUUGUAAAUCAGUUCAUUUGUAUCACUUUUUAAAAAAAGUAUUUUUAAUUGGAGAAUAAUUGCUUUACCAUAUUGUGUUGGCUUUUGCUGUACAACAGUGUGAAUUAGCCAUAAGUAUAUGUAUGUCCCCUUCUCUUGAACCUUCUCCCCACCCCCUCACCCCAUCCCACUGCUCUAGAUUGUCACGAUGGAAUCUAGAAAAGCGGUGCUGAGAACCUUCUUGCAGGGCUGGAAUAGAGACAACAGACAUAGACAGCGGACUUUGGACACAGCAGGGGAAGGGGAGAGUAGCGCUGAACAGACACGUUAUCACAUGUAGAAUAAAUGGCUAACGGCAAGUGCUGUAGAGCACAGGGGGCUCCACCCGGUGCUCUGUAUCACUUUUUAGAGUCCACAUGUAAGCGAUAUCAUAUGAUAUUUGUGUUGCUCUCUCUGAUUUACUUCACUUAGUAUGACAGUCUCUACAUCCAUCCAUGCUGCUGCAAAAGGCAUUAUUUUGUUCUUUUUUAUGGCUGAGUAAUAUUCCGUUGUAUAUGUAUACCAUAUUUCCUUACCCGUCCUCUGUUGAUGGACAUUUAGGUUAUUUCUAUGUCUUGGCUGUUGUAAACAGUGCUGCUAUGAACACUGGGGUGCAUAUCUUUUUUUUUCUCUGUCACCCUUAGGAUAUACAGUUAAGUGUUGUCCUGCACUGACAGCUACUUCUCGUUUUCCCCUUCUCUCCCUUCCUCUUUGUUUUUGUUGUAUUUACUUUCUUUGCCUUUGUCUUUUACUGGGAUGCUAAUGGCAUGCAGAAAACUUGAAGUAUACUGCCUGAUCUUCUCUAUUUUUAUUUGAUCUCAGAAAGAGAUAGCUUGCCUUUUCUUAAGUUCAAGGUUUUGAAAAGUUAUCUGGGAAAUAUAGGUGAUGAGAGAGUUUGGUGAAUCCUACAGAUAUUUAAUUCUUUAAAGGCAGUUGUUUUUAUUGGUGUAUUGCUAUCCUCUUACAGUCAUCACUGGCCUAAAAGGCUGGUUUCCAGAGUCACUUUAAAAAAUGGGAGAGCUAGGAAAGUGCCGGGGUCCAGCCCCAGUGGAUCCAGGGAAUUCGAAGGUGGGGACGG